rnacentral:tRNA from 1 species
GCCAUGGUGGUUCCAUGAUAGAAUUCUUGCCUUGCAUGCAGGAGACCUGGGUUCAAUUCCCAGCCAAUCCA